rnacentral:rRNA from 1 species
GGCUCAGAUUGAACGCUGGCGGCAGGCCUAACACAUGCAAGUCGAACGGUAGCACAGAGGAGCUUGCUCCUUGGGUGACGAGUGGCGGACGGGUGAGUAAUGUCUGGGGAUCUGCCCGAUGGAGGGGGAUAACUACUGGAAACGGUAGCUAAUACCGCAUAACGUCGCAAGACCAAAGUGGGGGACCUUCGGGCCUCACACCAUCGGAUGAACCCAGAUGGGAUUAGCUAGUAGGUGGGGUAACGGCUCACCUAGGCGACGAUCCCUAGCUGGUCUGAGAGGAUGACCAGCCACACUGGAACUGAGACACGGUCCAGACUCCUACGGGAGGCAGCAGUGGGGAAUAUUGCACAAUGGGCGCAAGCCUGAUGCAGCCAUGCCGCGUGUAUGAAGAAGGCCUUCGGGUUGUAAAGUACUUUCAGCGGGGAGGAAGGUGGUGAGGUUAAUAAGCUCAUCAAUUGACGUUACCCGCAGAAGAAGCACCGGCUAACUCCGUGCCAGCAGCCGCGGUAAUACGGAGGGUGCAAGCGUUAAUCGGAAUUACUGGGCGUAAAGCGCACGCAGGCGGUCUGUCAAGUCGGAUGUGAAAUCCCCGGGCUUAACCUGGGAACUGCAUUCGAAACUGGCAGGCUCGAGUCUCGUAGAGGGGGGUAGAAUUCCAGGUGUAGCGGUGAAAUGCGUAGAGAUCUGGAGGAAUACCGGUGGCGAAGGCGGCCCCCUGGACGAAGACUGACGCUCAGGUGCGAAAGCGUGGGGAGCAAACAGGAUUAGAUACCCUGGUAGUCCACGCCGUAAACGAUGUCGACUUGGAGGUUGUGCCCUUGAGGCGUGGCUUCCGGAGCUAACGCGUUAAGUCGACCGCCUGGGGAGUACGGCCGCAAGGUUAAAACUCAAAUGAAUUGACGGGGGCCCGCACAAGCGGUGGAGCAUGUGGUUUAAUUCGAUGCAACGCGAAGAACCUUACCUGGCCUUGACAUCCAGAGAACUUAGCAGAGAUGCUUUGGUGCCUUCGGGAACUCUGAGACAGGUGCUGCAUGGCUGUCGUCAGCUCGUGUUGUGAAAUGUUGGGUUAAGUCCCGCAACGAGCGCAACCCUUAUCCUUUGUUGCCAGCGAUUCGGUCGGGAACUCAAAGGAGACUGCCGGUGAUAAACCGGAGGAAGGUGGGGAUGACGUCAAGUCAUCAUGGCCCUUACGGCCAGGGCUACACACGUGCUACAAUGGCGCAUACAAAGAGAAGCGACCUCGCGAGAGCAAGCGGACCUCAUAAAGUGCGUCGUAGUCCGGAUUGGAGUCUGCAACUCGACUCCAUGAAGUCGGAAUCGCUAGUAAUCGUAGAUCAGAAUGCUACGGUGAAUACGUUCCCGGGCCUUGUACACACCGCCCGUCACACCAUGGGGAGUGGGUUGCAAAAGAAGUAGGUAGCUUAACCUUCGGGAGGGCGCUUACCACUUUGUGAUUCAUGACUGGGGUGAAGUC